rnacentral:rRNA from 1 species
AUGAACGCUGGCGGCGUGCCUAAUACAUGCAAGUCGAGCGAACAGACGAGGAAUUUACUCCUCUGACGUUAGCGGCGGACGGGUGAGUAACACGUGGAUAACCUACCUAUAAGACUGGGAUAACUUCGGGAAACCGGAGCUAAUACCGGAUAACAUGUUGAACCGCAUGGUUCAACAGUGAAAGACGGUCUUGCUGUCACUUAUAGAUGGAUCCGCGUCGCAUUAGCUAGUUGGUAAGGUAACGGCUUACCAAGGCAACGAUGCGUAGCCGACCUGAGAGGGUGAUCGGCCACACUGGAACUGAGACACGGUCCAGACUCCUACGGGAGGCAGCAGUAGGGAAUCUUCCGCAAUGGGCGAAAGCCUGACGGAGCAACGCCGCGUGAGUGAAGAAGGUCUUCGGAUCGUAAAACUCUGUUAUUAGGGAAGAACAAAUGUGUAAGUAACUAUGCACGUCUUGACGGUACCUAAUCAGAAAGCCACGGCUAACUACGUG